GAUGAACGCUGGCGGCGUGCCUAAUACAUGCAAGUCGAGCGAACAGACGAGGAGCUUGCUCCUUCGACGUUAGCGGCGGACGGGUGAGUAACACGUAGGUAACCUACCUAUAAGACUGGGAUAACUUCGGGAAACCGGAGCUAAUACCGGAUAAUAUUUCGAACCGCAUGGUUCGAUAGUGAAAGAUGGCUUUGCUAUCACUUAUAGAUGGACCUGCGCCGUAUUAGCUAGUUGGUAAGGAAACGGCUUACCAAGGCAACGAUACGUAGCCGACCUGAGAGGGUGAUCGGCCACACUGGAACUGAGACACGGUCCAGACUCCUACGGGAGGCAGCAGUAGGGAAUCUUCCGCAAUGGGCGAAAGCCUGACGGAGCAACGCCGCGUGAGUGAUGAAGGUCUUCGGAUCGUAAAACUCUGUUAUUAGGGAAGAACAAACGUGUAAGUAACUGUGCACGUCUUGACGGUACCUAAUCAGAAAGCCACGGCUAACUACGUG
rnacentral:rRNA from 1 species